rnacentral:rRNA from 1 species
AUUGAACGCUGGCGGCAGGCCUAACACAUGCAAGUCGAACGGUAACAGGAAGAAGCUUGCUUCUUUGCUGACGAGUUGCGGACGGGUGAGUAAUGUCUGGGAAACUGCCUGAUGGAGGGGGAUAACUACUGGAAACGGUAGCUAAUACCGCAUAACGUCGCAAGACCAAAGAGGGGGACCUUCGGGCCUCUUGCCAUCGGAUGUGCCCAGAUGGGAUUAGCUAGUAGGUGGGGUAACGGCUCACCUAGGCGACGAUCCCUAGCUGGUCUGAGAGGAUGACCAGCCACACUGGAACUGAGACACGGUCCAGACUCCUACGGGAGGCAGCAGUGGGGAAUAUUGCACAAUGGGCGCAAGCCUGAUGCAGCCAUGCCGCGUGUAUGAAGAAGGCCUUCGGGUUGUAAAGUACUUUCAGCGGGGAGGAAGGGAGUAAAGUUAAUACCUUUGCUCAUUGACGUUACCCGCAGAAGAAGCACCGGCUAACUCCGUG